CGUAUGGAAACGUACGCUAAUACCGCAUGCGCCCUUCGGGGGAAAGUCGGGGACCGCAAGGCCUGGACGCGAUUGGAUGAGCCCAUGUUCGAUUAGCUAGUUGGCGGGGUAACGGCCCACCAAGGCGACGAUCGAUAGCUGGUCUGAGAGGAUGAUCAGCCACACUGGAACUGAGACACGGUCCAGACUCCUACGGGAGGCAGCAGUAGGGAAUAUUGGACAAUGGGCGCAAGCCUGAUCCAGCCAUGCCGCGUGAGUGAAGAAGGCCCUCGGGUUGUAAAGCUCUUUUGUUGGGGAAGAAAAGCAGUUGGUUAAUACCCGAUUGUUCUGACGGUACCCAAAGAAUAAGCACCGGCUAACUUCGUG
rnacentral:rRNA from 1 species